UCAGAAAAGGAAAUGGAAUAGGAGAUAUGGAUUCAAGUAUUUUCUCUGAAUCAGGUAUUGAGAACCUUUGAAAAUCCAGAAAGGGAAAAAAGAAAUCUUCCUUUUCCAUAGUGGUCACCUUUGAGUGCAUAUCUGGAGGGAACAAAUGAGGUUGAGUGGGCAUGUAUGGGGGAUGGGUCAAGGGAAUGGAGGUACGUACCCUAGGGGAAACAUUGGAAAGAAAGUCUGAACAAUUGCAUAAGUGUGUAGGGGUAGAGAGCGUGAAUGGUGUGAGAAAAAUAGAGAGGAAGAAAGGAGAGGAGGGAAAGAUUUGGAUUUUAAAAAUAUCCCAGUGAGGAAAAAGAAAAGGAAAGGGCCGGAAAGAUGGAAGAGUGAUACAAGAAAAUAACCAAGUGGUAGAAAAAGAAGGCAGAAGAGAUACUCCUACAUGUGCAGUCACCAGAAAGAACAAAGGAACCACAUGCUAUGGAGACAUAUUCUCCAGGAUUCAACUGCAUGCAAAAUGUAACCUUUCGCUUUUCCUGUUACUUAUAAGGAGUAUUGUGGACAGAGCAG